CGCGGUAAAACGUAAAGGACGAGUAAUACACAUAAUAGGUAUAAAGAGUUAGCAAUACUGAUCUAAAAUCUUUGCUGUAAUAGCAAGAUAAAAACCUUUGGAGAGAUCUAGAAUCUAUAAAUGAGUUAUUAUGAGGUAUAUGAGUAGCGGUUAAAUGUGUAUAUACAUAUAUAACAACCAAUUAAGAAGUAAUAUAACUAAUACAUAGAUUGACGUUGAGUAACGAAACUUAGAGUAUCGAAUAGGAUUAGUCAACCUAUUAGUUUUAAGCGUAAACGAUGUAUACUAAUAUCUAUAUAAAUAAGGUAUGGAUAUAAAGCAAAUGCGAAAGUAUAUCACCAGGGGAGUACUGACUAAUCGAAGAAACCCAAAACAAUAGACGGUUUGAGUGUUAACAGUGGAUUAUGUUAUUUAAU
rnacentral:rRNA from 1 species